CCUACGGGAGGCUGCAGUGAGGAAUAUUGGUCAAUGGACGAGAGUCUGAACCAGCCAAGUAGCGUGAAGGAUGACUGCCCUAUGGGUUGUAAACUUCUUUUAUAAAGGAAUAAAACGAGGCACGUGUGGCUUUUUGUAUGUACUUUAUGAAUAAGGAUCGGCUAACUCCGUGCCAGCAGCCGCGGUAAUACGGAGGAUCCGAGCGUUAUCCGGAUUUAUUGGGUUUAAAGGGAGCGUAGAUGGGUUGUUAAGUCAGUUGUGAAAGUUUGCGGCUCAACCGUAAAAUUGCAAUUGAUACUGGCAGUCUUGAGUACAGUAGAGGUAGGCGGAAUUCGUGGUGUAGCGGUGAAAUGCUUAGAUAUCACGAAGAACUCCGAUUGCGAAGGCAGCUUACUAAACUGCCACUGACACUGAGGCUCGAAAGUGUGGGUAUCAAACAGGAUUAGAUACCCGGGUAGUC
rnacentral:rRNA from 1 species